rnacentral:rRNA from 1 species
UGCCAGACUCCUACGGGAGGCAGCAGUGAGGAAUAUUGGUCAAUGGCCGAGAGGCUGAACCAGCCAAGUCGCGUGAGGGAAGACGGCCCUACGGGUUGUAAACCUCUUUUGUCGGGGAGCAAAAGCCGGACGUGUCCGGCUGUGAGAGUACCCGAAGAAAAAGCAUCGGCUAACUCCGUGCCAGCAGCCGCGGUAAUACGGAGGAUGCGAGCGUUAUCCGGAUUUAUUGGGUUUAAAGGGUGCGCAGGCGGAUUUUUAAGUCAGCGGUCAAAUCGUGGGGCUCAACCCCAUCCAGCCGUUGAAACUGCAUCCCUUGAGUGCGCGAGAAGUAUGCGGAAUGCGUGGUGUAGCGGUGAAAUGCAUAGAUAUCACGCAGAACUCCGAUUGCGAAGGCAGCAUACCGGCGCGCAACUGACGCUCAUGCACGAAAGCGUGGGUAUCGAACAGGAUUAGAUACCCGUGUA